UGGUGAGAGGUUAGAAGGUGAAGGAAGGGGAGUAAUGUGUGGGCAGAGGCAGACAUUAUGUUCCCUAUGGCGUUUGCCUGUGCUUGUGUAGAAUAUUUGAUGGGUCAGUUCUGGAGCUUCAGGAAAGAUAUGGAUUCAAACAGCAGGUGCUCUGAAACUCUCAAACUAUGAGAUGUCAAAAGUUCGAUUGUGGUGGGAGAAAGAAGAAACUGUGAGUCCUAAAGUUUCCUUAGACCACAGCAAAAACUCUAUACAUCUGUGAGAAAUCAAACAGAAAAAUAGAAGAGCAAAAAAAGAAAAAAGAACAAAUUCCAUGAAAGAAAAUGCAGUAUAGAUAUCAGCAUUCAGCCUUGACACGGAGUCAAGGGAAGCUUCUACUUCUAGUGAUGGAAAUGUAGUUUGGUUCAGUCUGUGAGGAGAACAACUUAACAGUGUGCUAGAACACAAGAAUACCAGCUUCAACUAUGAGCUCACCUGAUAAGAGGCGAGCAUUGAUCACCAAUGACACACAUUAAGCAGUAGUGCAUCUAUUGAUGACACCCAUUCUGGCCCCACAAUUUCUCUGUCCAGGAAAUACUUCUAAAUUCCAUAUUUGCUUAUAAGGUUCAUUGCUCCUGGAUCUCUUCAAAAGAACAAGAAUGUAUGUUGGCCAGCUUCUACCUGUGGACCCUGUUACCUCAGCAUUUGACUGAGGUAACAACCACAUCAUCCCACAGAAGGCUGAUGCAGCAGAGAGAGGCAGGGUAUAGCUUGCAUGGUCCUUCCAUCCUAACUGCAACCUGUGCUAACUAUAAUAAUACAUCCCACUUCUUUCCCCUUGCUUCUGACUCC